UACGUAGGGAGCCAGCGUUGUCCGGAUUUACUGGGCGUAAAGAGCGCGUAGGCGGUCUAGUAAGCGGAGGGUGAAAUCCCGGGGCUCAACUCCGGGGCUGCUCUCCGAACUGUUAGACUAGAGUACGGGAGAGGACAGUGGAAUUCCUGGUGUAGCGGUGGAAUGCGUAAAUAUCAGGAGGAACACCCGUGGCGAAGGCUGCUGUCUGGAACGUUACUGACGCUGAGGCGCGAAAGCUAGGGGAG
rnacentral:rRNA from 1 species